AUACGUAGGGUGCAAGCGUUAAUCGGAAUUACUGGGCGUAAAGCGUGCGCAGGCGGUUUUGUAAGACAGGGGUGAAAUCCCCGGGCUCCACCUGGGAACUGCCUUUGUGACUGCAAGGCUAGAGUACCGCAGAGGGGGAUGGAAUUCCGCGGGCAGCAGUGAAAUGCGUAGAUAUGCGGAGGAACACCGAUGGCGAAGGCAAUCCCCUGGGCCUGUACUGACGCUCAUGCACGAAAGCGUGGGGAGCAAACAGGAUUAGAUACCCUGGUAGUCCACGCCCUAAACGAUGUCAACUGGUUGUUGGGUCUUCAUUGACUCAGUAACGAAGCUAACGCGUGAAGUUGACCGCCUGGGGAGUACGGCCGCAAGGUUGAAACUCAAAUGAAUUGACGGGG
rnacentral:rRNA from 1 species